AGCAUAUCAAUAAGCGGAGGAAAAGAAACCAACCGGGAUUGCCUCAGUAACGGCGAGUGAAGCGGCAAGAGCUCAAAUUUGAAAUCUGGCCCCUCCGGGGUCCGAGUUGUAAUUUGCAGAGGAUGCUUCGGGUGCGGCCCCUGUCUAAGUGCCCUGGAACGGGCCGUCAGAGAGGGUGAGAAUCCCGUCUUGGGCAGGGUGCCCGUGCCCGUGUGAAGCUCCUUCGACGAGUCGAGUUGUUUGGGAAUGCAGCUCUAAAUGGGUGGUAAAUUUCAUCUAAAGCUAAAUACCGGCCGGAGACCGAUAGCGCACAAGUAGAGUGAUCGAAAGAUGAAAAGCACUUUGAAAAGAGAGUUAAACAGCACGUGAAAUUGUUGAAAGGGAAGCGCUUGCGACCAGACUCGGCCCCGGGGUUCAGCCAGCACUCGUGCUGGUGUACUUCCCCGGGGGCGGGCCAGCGUCGGUUUGGGCGGCCGGUCAAAGGCCCCAGGAAUGUGUCGCCCUCCGGGGCGUCUUAUAGCCUGGGGUGCAAUGCGGCCAGCCCGGACCGAGGAACGCGCUUCGGCACGGACGCUGGCGUAAUGGUCGCAAACGACCCGUCUUGAAACACGGACCAAGGAGUCUAACAUCUACGCGAGUGUUCGGGUGUCAAACCCGUACGCGCAGUGAAAGCGAACGGAGGUGGGAGCCCCGCAAGGGGCGCACCAUCGACCGAUCCUGAUGUCUUCGGAUGGAUUUGAGUAAGAGCGUAGCUGUGGGGACCCGAAAGAUGGUGAACUAUGCCUGAAUAGGGCGAAGCCAGAGGAAACUCUGGUGGAGGCUCGCAGCGGUUCUGACGUGCAAAUCGAUCGUCAAAUUUGGGUAUAGGGGCGAAAGACUAAUCGAACCAUCUGGUAGCUGGUUCCUGCCGAA
rnacentral:rRNA from 1 species